CUGCUCCUGCAGAAGACUGGUAUGUGCUUUAUAAGACAAGUGCUAACGCUGAUUUUGGAGGAUCAGACGCGCAAUGCAUGAGAUACACAGUGCAGGAGGUACACCCGGGCGAACAAAAAGUGACCUUCAGAGUACGCUCACUGCCAAAUACCGAAAGAACUGAAACAGUCAUAUAUUAUUCACGACCAGGCGAGCGGUACCGAACAAUUAUGGAAACGUUCAAUGGAAAUGAAACGGUGCCAAAGCGAGACCAAGUGCUCUUCUCGGACUGCAGAAACUGCAAACUUGUGGCUUCACUUUCAACUGA
rnacentral:lncRNA from 1 species